rnacentral:SRP_RNA from 1 species
GCCAGGUGUGGUGGCGGGCGCCUGUAGUCCCAGCUAUUUGGGAGGCUGAGGCAGGACAAUUGCUUGAACCCGGGAGAUGGAGGUUGCAGUGAGCUGAGAUUGUGCCACUGCAUUCCAUCCUGGGUGACAGAGCGAGGCUCUGUCUCAA